UGAGUAACCUGCCCUUAACUCUGGGAUAAGCCUGGGAAACUGGGUCUAAUACCGGAUGUGACUCCUCAUCGCAUGGUGGGGGGUGGAAAGCUUUAUUGUGGUUUUGGAUGGACUCGCGGCCUAUCAGCUUGUUGGUGAGGUAAUGGCUCACCAAGGCGACGACGGGUAGCCGGCCUGAGAGGGUGACCGGCCACACUGGGACUGAGACACGGCCCAGACUCCUACGGGAGGCAG
rnacentral:rRNA from 1 species